rnacentral:misc_RNA from 1 species
UAGAUUAGUAAUCAUUUCAUAAAAUGGCUGCCAUCAGGUAUACAGUUUAUUUGUAAAGUCUCAAAUUGACAAAAGCAUUCAUUUUUAAAUAAUCAAAAGUAUCUUACGUUGUGCUUUUUAUAAAAACGUUCCAUAAAUAAUCUUCGAUGCAUAAAAAUUAAUUAUUUUUAUAUCGUGGUUUUUCGAAUGUAAUCGUACGCUAUUGUGUGAUCUCACCAAACAGAGCGCGGAAGUACAAAAAAGUGUACGUCAAACUGUCAAAGAAUCCUUAUGUCAAUUUGUUUAUAGUUAUAAGCGUUGAUGAAUGUCUGAGAGUGAUACUUACGAUUCGGCGGACGAAUAUACAAGCCUAAUGGACGGUCACGUCGCGGAAUCUCGCACGGACGAUUUGGGCUUGGUUACUGGUCGAAAAAGGCGUUCGCGUAUUAGUAACGAAGAGAUUGAAAAUGGAAUUCCUGAGGUCCAUAUUCAAACACCAGGUAUAUCAAAUAAUGCAGGUUCAGGUAGAAGAGGUACAUUAAGUAGUAGUGUCCAGGGUAGAUCAAGAAAUUAUAGAGAUGAAGAAGAAGAAGAAUUAAAAUAUGGAGCAGCACAUGUUAUUAAAUUAUUUGUGCCUGUAUCUCUUUGUAUGUUAGUUGUAGUUGCCACAAUUAGUUCUAUAAAUUUUUACACAACCAAAGGAAUGUAUUUAGUAUACACUCCAUUUCAUGAAGACAGUGCUGACACAAGUACAAAGGCUUGGCAAGCAGUUGCCAACUCUUUAAUACUAAUGAGUGUCAUUGUAUUUAUGACUGUGAUACUUAUUGUUCUAUAUAAAUAUAAAUUUUAUAAAGUAAUCCAUGGAUGGUUGAUAAUAAGUUCCUUAUUGUUGUUAUCUAUGUUUUCUAUGUUAUAUUGCGAACAAGUAUUAAAAGCAUAUAACAUUCCAAUGGAUUUGUAUACAUUAGGUUUAGUUUUAUGGAAUUUUGGAGUAGUUGGAAUGAUAUGUAUACAUUGGCAAGGUCCUCUACAAUUACAACAAGCAUAUCUUAUUUUUAUCUCUGCUCUAAUGGCGCUUGUUUUUAUUAAAUAUUUACCAGAAUGGACAGCAUGGGUUGUACUUGGUGUUAUUAGUAUUUGGGAUUUAAUUGCUGUGUUAACACCAAAAGGACCUUUAAGAAUACUUGUAGAGACUGCACAAGAGCGAAAUGAAUCUAUUUUUCCUGCAUUAAUUUAUUCUUCGACAAUUAUGUACACAGCUACAAUGACUUAUGCUGGUUAUGUACAAACAGCAACAAUGACUACUAAUGAUACUGCUGCUAAUGAUAACACAACAUAUACUAUGAAUAAUCAAGCAAAUAAUCAAAAUAAUUCUACAUCUGGAGAUGCAGAAGAGGGCGGAUUUACACCUGAAUGGAUAGAUACACAUGGUGAUCGAGGAGCAAGACGAGCACAAGAAGUACGUGAAAAUACCUUGUCUUUAACAGAAAGAUCAAGACAAGAUAAUCGUGUUGCACGUGAAUCACAAGGACAACAAAUCCCAAUUACUGAGGAGGAACGAGGAGUGAAAUUAGGUCUUGGUGAUUUUAUAUUUUACAGCGUUUUAGUUGGGAAAGCUUCCAGUUAUGGCGAUUGGAACACUACAUUAGCUUGUUUCGUUGCUAUUCUUAUUGGACUUUGUUUAACAUUAUUAUUGCUGGCUAUUUUUAAGAAAGCAUUGCCAGCAUUACCAAUCUCUGUUACAUUUGGUUUAACAUUUUAUUUUGCCACAAGAGUAAUUGUUGCACCAUUUGCAGAUAAAUUAGCGAGCGAGCAAGUGUUCAUUUAACUGAUGUGACGUCGCGUGCGCAACUCGCGUUGUCGAGAUUCGAGAGCUGCUAUGGCAUCUGCCCAUUCUUUCCAUUGGGCACCCCAUUCACGUUCCAACUCACGCUGCGCUCCUUCCAAUGCUUCUNNNNNNNNNNNNNNNNNNNNNNNNGCGGCCCAUCUUUCUUCUCUUUCUUCCUGUUCUCUCUAUAUAGUUCUUCGAGCGCUCGCAGAUCUUCGCUCGAAUUUAAAAGGUUAUCGCUAGAGGAUGAAGCAUGCAAAUCCGAGACACUCCAACUCAAGAGGGACAAUCUUGAAAGAUUGACGACUGUGGAUUGUAAGUUACCAUUACCCGUUCCACCUUCCUUUCUUAGUUUCGCCGCUUCAGCUGGAUCGUUAUAUCGAAACAUAUUGUUCCUCCC